GCCUGAGUGGCUCAGUUGAUUCAGUAUCUGACUUCGGCUCAGGUCAUGAUCUUGCAGUUCGUGGGUUCAAGCCCCACAUCAGGCU
rnacentral:tRNA from 1 species